rnacentral:tRNA from 1 species
GGGUGACUAGCUCAGUGGUUAGAGCGUUCGCUUCACAUGCGAAAGGUCACAGGUUCGAACCCUGUGUCACCCA